rnacentral:lncRNA from 1 species
CGGAAAUCAGCACAGAUCCAGGAAUUGCAGCGGCGGCCCGAGCUGUCGCCCGCGGUGCCGUCAGCACCCGCAGCCUCCUCCAACGCCCCCCGGUCCCGGGGCAGGGCUCGGGAGCUCCCCAGCUGCCGGGGCCGGCCCCGGGGAGGGCCGAAGCGGGCGGUGAGGGCGGCUCUGAAGGCAGGGGCGGCCCCGGCCCCUCCUGAGGCGCGGUGGCUGCGUCCCGCUCGCGUUCCCGGGCAGGGACAUGGCGUGGUCCGCUCCCAUCGCCGGCCCCGGCGGGGGAGGCAGAGAGACACCGGCGGCUCCACGGGGCUGGCCUCGCUCUCAGUUCCACCUUACCCCGCUCCGGGUACGCCGUGCGGCUCGGUGCGGGCACGUCCCCGAGUGGGCGGGCUCGGUCUCCUCGGCUCCGCCCGGCCGGCCGCCGGCGGUGUCCCCCGCGCAGGGAAUGGUUUGUCCCUGCCUCUCAGCCCUACGCUCCCGCUCCACCUCCCGCUAGUGCCCGGCUCGGCGGGCGGCGGAGCGGGUUGCGCUGCUCGGGGAGGGGGGCUCCGCCGCACCGCCCCUCACAUCACCGCGCCGCCCGUGGGGUGCCCCCCGAGAGGAGCCCCCCGAGAGGAGCGCGGUGCCGGGGCCGCCCCGCCAGGUAACGGUGAGGGGAGCCGCGGGGCGCCUGCAUCCCCCCCUCCGCCCGCGCCGCCCCUGCCGGCGGCCGCUUACCCGCCGCCUCUCCUCAGCCCCCUGCCCGGCGGCAGGCGGGGGGGCUCCGCCGACAGCUGGGCUGCUGUCCCCGGGGAGAGGCGGCGGAGCGGGGCGGCUGCCCGCCGUGAUUCAGCAUCGCCGCCUGGGCGGGAGGAUGAGGAAGGGGGGGAGGGGGGGGGGGGGGGAGGGGGGGGGGGAGCGGGCGUCAGGGGUGAGAGCGUGGGGGGACCGGGGAGCGAGCGGCGGAGCGGGGGGUGUGCCCUCGGGGUUGGUGCUCUCGGGCUUUGCAGCCGCAGUCCGGCAUCUCUAACGGGGGGCUGGCUGGCUGGGGCCAAAUAG